UUGAGACACUGGUUCUCGUCCAAUCACUGAAGUUAAGCAAAAUUGAGCUUGGUCAGUACUCAGAUGAGUGACUACUGGGAAAUACCAGGUGUUGUAA